rnacentral:rRNA from 1 species
UACAGAGGUCUCAAGCGUUGUUCGGAUUCAUUGGGCGUAAAGAGCUCGUAGGCGGUUCGUCGCGUCGGCUGUGAAAUCCCGAGGCUCAACCUCGGGUCUGCAGUCGAUACGGGCGGACUGGAGUUCGGCAGGGGAGACUGGAAUUCCUGGUGUAGCGGUGAAAUGCGCAGAUAUCAGGAGGAACACCGGUGGCGAAGGCGGGAUCCUGGGCCAGUACUGACGCUGAGGAGCGAAAGCGUGGGGAGCAAACAGG